GGAUUGGGAUAUUCCGACUCCUUAAGGGCCUGGCGCACAUAAGGUGUGACCUUUUCAUUCCCGUUGUUAUGGAGGGCCACAUCUGCCAGAGCCUGGAGUCUGCGAAGGCCGGGACCCGGUUCCCCGGCCCACAGUGGGGGUGUGCAAACCCGAGAGAACUGGGUUGCAAAUUCGUGAAGAAUCAGCAUCAUGUUUGGCAGCUGAGUAUUGGAGCCAGGAGCCUGCCAUGAGGUUUUGAGAACAGAGUGCUGUUUUAGAGCUGGCAGCAGCAUCUCAGCCCAAGAGAAGCCGAUGCAGCCUCAGUGUUCCUUUGCCUUGGGGGUUUCUGAGUGGUGGGGUUGUAAGCAGAUCCUGCCAGGCACCCAGAAGGAAACCUCAUCAGGACUCCCUCAGAAAGGCCCUGAAGAAUCCUGUGACCUUCAUCUAAAGUAGGUCAUGAGACCCCUGAGCUUAAAACGGAGUGAUCGGCUUUGGAGAAGCAUGACUCCACAGUUUCUGCAACAACAGAGCCGGGGAAAGGAGGACGCAGCAAGCGCUGAAUAUUAACCAGCAAAGGUAGAUGCUUCAAUAUCGAAACCACCGGGACCCGCAUGUGCAAAGCUACUUAAUGAGGGUGUAAUCAAACACAGUCUACCAGAAGGAAAUUAAUUAGAGUCCGGAGAGCAAGCAGGAAGCAGAACCAGGCUGCUCCCCCUCCUGGCUCUAGAACAUCACUGGCAGCCACUGCUAAGGGAGGGACAAGGCUGGGGGAUGCCAGGCCUCAGCUGGGUGCCAGGGCUCCUGUCCUCUUCCCCGUGACAUUCCGGCUUGCCUUUGGGGGACACC
rnacentral:lncRNA from 1 species